rnacentral:ncRNA from 1 species
AUAAAAACAAUGAAGAGAAGAGUAGGUAUGAAGCUUAGUUGAAGCGAGUCAGGGGUAGUGUAAGCCUGAUACGAAUGUCAUACUGAAGAACAUCUCAGAGUUACUAACCGAAAAGCGUAAUGCUUAGUAGGCUUAGUCGGAGCCAUACCGUUACAGCAUGGAUGUUGUAUCUGCAACAGUUAAGAGUGGAGUUUAUCUCAACUUGGGUGGUACCACGGAAUUAUGCCUUUCGUCCCAUAU